GACACUCUGGAGAAGCCCGAUCCCGCAUCGGGUGCCGAAGGUGCAAAGCCGGUGAGCCGGUGAAUCUCUCAGGCAAAAGGACAGAGUCGG
rnacentral:ncRNA from 1 species